CCUACGGGAGGCAGCAGUGGGGAAUUUUGGACAAUGGGGGCAACCCUGAUCCAGCCAUGCCGCGUGUGUGAAGAAGGCCCUCGGGUUGUAAAGCACUUUCAGUGAGGAAGAACGCCUGGUGGUUAAUACCCAUCAGGAAAGACAUCACUCACAGAAGAAGCACCGGCUAACUCCGUGCCAGCAGCCGCGGUAAUACGGAGGGUGCGAGCGUUAAUCGGAAUUACUGGGCGUAAAGCGCGCGUAGGUGGCUUGAUAAGCCGGUUGUGAAAGCCCCGGGCUCAACCUGGGAACGGCAUCCGGAACUGUCAAGCUAGAGUGCAGGAGAGGAAGGUAGAAUUCCCGGUGUAGCGGUGAAAUGCGUAGAGAUCGGGAGGAAUACCAGUGGCGAAGGCGGCCUUCUGGACUGACACUGACACUGAGGUGCGAAAGCGUGGGUAGCAAACAGGAUUAGAUACCCUUGUAGUC
rnacentral:rRNA from 1 species